UCCUGUCUCGUUUCAGACGUCACAGCCAGGUCAUAUCCUGUCUCGUUUCAGACGUCACAGCCAGGUCAUAUCCUGUCUCGUUUCAGACGUCACAGCCAGGUCAUAUCCUGUCUCGUUUCAGACGUCACAGCCAGGUCAUAUCCUGUCUCGUUUCAGACGUCACAGCCAGGUCAUAUCCUGUCUCGUUUCAGACGUCACAGUCAGGUCAUAUCCUGUCUCGUUUCAGACGUCACAGUCAGGUCAUAUCCUGUCUCGUUUCAGACGUCACAGUCAGGUCAUAUCCUGUCUCGUUUCAGACGUCACAGCCAGGUCAUAUCCUGUCUCGUUUCAGACGUCACAGUCAGGUCAUAUCCUGUCUCGUUUCAGACGUCACAGUCAGGUCAUAUCCUGUCUCGUUUCAGACGUCACAGCCAGGUCAUAUCCUGUCUCGUUUCAGACGUCACAGUCAGGUCAUAUCCUGUCUCGUUUCAGACGUCACAGUCAGGUCAUAUCCUGUCUCGUUUCAGACGUCACAGUCAGGUCAU